CUUUUAGCCUGGUAAAAACUGAUUGUUUCUCACAGAUGUUCUCCAAGCACUCAGGGAUCUGAUGCAGCAGGAGCUGGACGAGGCUGGUCUGGAUUCCAGCUCUGUGCUCUUCACUCAGCACGAAGUGGCCAAUUUGCUGGAUACUUCAGCUUUUCACUCCCCGACCUUUGACUCUCUCAAUUGCAAUGGCAGCGAGGACCUGGAGCAGCUGCAGCUGGAGAUGAGGGAUCUGCGGCACGAAGUCCGCAGGCUGAAGUCUCUCCUGAGAGAAGUGGAGAGCAGCAAGAAGUUGAUGGAGGAUGAGCUUCAGAGGCUG
rnacentral:lncRNA from 1 species